rnacentral:rRNA from 1 species
GAUGAACGCUGGCGGCGUGCCUAAUACAUGCAAGUCGAGCGAAUGGAUUAAGAGCUUGCUCUUAUGAAGUUAGCGGCGGACGGGUGAGUAACACGUGGGUAACCUGCCCAUAAGACUGGGAUAACUCCGGGAAACCGGGGCUAAUACCGGAUAACAUUUUGAACCGCAUGGUUCGAACUUGAAAGGCGGCUUCGGCUGUCACUUAUGGAUGGCCCCGCGUCGCAUUAGCUAGUUGGUGAGGUAACGGCUCACCAAGGCAACGAUGCGUAGCCGACCUGAGAGGGUGAUCGGCCACACUGGGACUGAGACACGGCCCAGACUCCUACGGGAGGCAGCAGUAGGGAAUCUUCCGCAAUGGACGAAAGUCUGACGGAGCAACGCCGCGUGAGUGAUGAAGGCUUUCGGGUCGUAAAACUCUGUUGUUAGGGAAGAACAAGUGCUAGUUGAAUAAGCUGGCACCUUGACGGUACCUAACCAGAAAGCCACGGCUAACUACGUGCCAGCAGCCGCAGUAA